UGCCAUGUGUCAGAGGGACAGAGGAUAGGGCUGCUAGGGACAGUCAGGACCCUGUGGGAGAGAUGUGUGCUGGACUACAGCUUAUUGUCAGAGCGCUUUAAGUUUUGGAUAAUCGUGAAAUACAUCCAAGUGAUGCAUUACCUUGGAAAGAUACCUGAUGUGAUGACCAUGAUCCAGGAACAGGAAAGAAAGUAUGAGAGAUUAUGAUCACAUUCACAGAGACAUGACAUAUGUGACUUCCACUGCCUCCAACUCACCAGAGGAAAAAGAUUUAUGGAUAGUAGAAUUUCUCACCUCACCAGCGGGAUAAAAUGAUUCAUUAGUGGAUAUGAAUAUUUAACGAAUGGCCAACACACAUAUUUAAUAAUUUAUUCUUCAAAAUGAUAUAUUGGUUCUUUUGACCGCCAGUGCCCUCAGCUUUCUGCUGUAAUUUUAUAGUUUAUGACUAGAUGGAGAAUAUACCUACAGUUUUAAGAACGACAUUUAUUGCAACUGUUCACAAUUUUUUCAAUGGUGCAUUACCAUUACUAAUGAGAUUGGUCUUUGGAGUGGGUUAAAAGAGGAAAUACAUGAAGCAGGGACCUGACUUCAAAGUAUAUUGGUGUUACUGAAAGUAAAUAGCUAAAGAUGGGGUACACUCUGCUGUACUCUGUAUAAGAUAUCAUUCCCAUACCCUAUUGAACUAGCAGGAUCGAUCUAUCUCUGAGGGGUUUCUUGCUAAAUUGCAUUUAGUUUAAGCCUGCACAAAAGCCAAUUACCCCCCUGGCAGCUUUAGUGGGCGUGACAGACAUUUAAGCUGCUUAAACUGAAUGCAAUUUAGCGAGAAUCCCCUCCGAGUUAGAUCGAUCCUGCUAGUACGAUAGGUUUAUGGGAACCCAGUCUCAGAGAUAAACAGCAUGGAUGCUCCACAGACUGCAUUUUAUACAUACAGAAGAAUCUGUAUACACAUGUUUCAAUUAUUCAGAACCUCGUUAAAAUGUACUUUGAUAGGUGUGGUGUGUGUGUGAAGUGGUGAAAUAGGAUAGGAAAGUUGCUUUCUUUGCAGGAAGCUUUUUUAUUUCCUGCUGCAAUCAAUUUUGUAUUGAAGUCAUUCAGAUUGAGAUUUUUCUCAUAAGUAGCAUUGGUUUGGAUUACCCUGAGGUUCAGAG